rnacentral:rRNA from 6 species
GGGUUGUGAGGUUAAGCGACUAAGCGUACACGGUGGAUGCCCUGGCAGUCAGAGGCGAUGAAGGACGUGCUAAUCUGCGAUAAGCGUCGGUAAGGUGAUAUGAACCGUUAUAACCGGCGAUUUCCGAAUGGGGAAACCCAGUGUGAUUCGUCACACUAUCAUUAACUGAAUCCAUAGGUUAAUGAGGCGAACCGGGGGAACUGAAACAUCUAAGUACCCCGAGGAAAAGAAAUCAACCGAGAUUCCCCCAGUAGCGGCGAGCGAACGGGGAGCAGCCCAGAGCCUGAAUCAGUGUGUGUGUUAGUGGAAGCGUCUGGAAAGGCGUGCGAUACAGGGUGACAGCCCCGUACACAAAAAUGCACAUAUUGUGAGCUCGAUGAGUAGGGCGGGACACGUGGUAUCCUGUCUGAAUAUGGGGGGACCAUCCUCCAAGGCUAAAUACUCCUGACUGACCGAUAGUGAACCAGUACCGUGAGGGAAAGGCGAAAAGAACCCCGGCGAGGGGAGUGAAAAAGAACCUGAAACCGUGUACGUACAAGCAGUGGGAGCACGCUUAGGCGUGUGACUGCGUACCUUUUGUAUAAUGGGUCAGCGACUUAUAUUCUGUAGCAAGGUUAACCGAAUAGGGGAGCCGAAGGGAAACCGAGUCUUAACUGGGCGUUAAGUUGCAGGGUAUAGACCCGAAACCCGGUGAUCUAGCCAUGGGCAGGUUGAAGGUUGGGUAACACUAACUGGAGGACCGAACCGACUAAUGUUGAAAAAUUAGCGGAUGACUUGUGGCUGGGGGUGAAAGGCCAAUCAAACCGGGAGAUAGCUGGUUCUCCCCGAAAGCUAUUUAGGUAGCGCCUCGUGAAUUCAUCUCCGGGGGUAGAGCACUGUUUCGGCAAGGGGGUCAUCCCGACUUACCAACCCGAUGCAAACUGCGAAUACCGGAGAAUGUUAUCACGGGAGACACACGGCGGGUGCUAACGUCCGUCGUGAAGAGGGAAACAACCCAGACCGCCAGCUAAGGUCCCAAAGUCAUGGUUAAGUGGGAAACGAUGUGGGAAGGCCCAGACAGCCAGGAUGUUGGCUUAGAAGCAGCCAUCAUUUAAAGAAAGCGUAAUAGCUCACUGGUCGAGUCGGCCUGCGCGGAAGAUGUAACGGGGCUAAACCAUGCACCGAAGCUGCGGCAGCGACACUAUGUGUUGUUGGGUAGGGGAGCGUUCUGUAAGCCUGUGAAGGUGUACUGUGAGGUAUGCUGGAGGUAUCAGAAGUGCGAAUGCUGACAUAAGUAACGAUAAAGCGGGUGAAAAGCCCGCUCGCCGGAAGACCAAGGGUUCCUGUCCAACGUUAAUCGGGGCAGGGUGAGUCGACUCCUAAGGCGAGGCCGAAAGGCGUAGUCGAUGGGAAACAGGUUAAUAUUCCUGUACUUGGUGUUACUGCGAAGGGGGGACGGAGAAGGCUAUGUUGGCCGGGCGACGGUUGUCCCGGUUUAAGCGUGUAGGCUGGUUUUCCAGGCAAAUCCGGAAAACUAAGGCUGAGGCGUGAUGACGAGGCACUACGGUGCUGAAGCAACAAAUGCCCUGCUUCCAGGAAAAGCCUCUAAGCAUCAGGUAACAUCAAAUCGUACCCCAAACCGACACAGGUGGUCAGGUAGAGAAUACCAAGGCGCUUGAGAGAACUCGGGUGAAGGAACUAGGCAAAAUGGUGCCGUAACUUCGGGAGAAGGCACGCUGAUAUGUAGGUGAAGUCCCUCGCGGAUGGAGCUGAAAUCAGUCGAAGAUACCAGCUGGCUGCAACUGUUUAUUAAAAACACAGCACUGUGCAAACACGAAAGUGGACGUAUACGGUGUGACGCCUGCCCGGUGCCGGAAGGUUAAUUGAUGGGGUCAGCGCAAGCGAAGCUCUUGAUCGAAGCCCCGGUAAACGGCGGCCGUAACUAUAACGGUCCUAAGGUAGCGAAAUUCCUUGUCGGGUAAGUUCCGACCUGCACGAAUGGCGUAAUGAUGGCCAGGCUGUCUCCACCCGAGACUCAGUGAAAUUGAACUCGCUGUGAAGAUGCAGUGUACCCGCGGCAAGACGGAAAGACCCCGUGAACCUUUACUAUAGCUUGACACUGAACAUUGAGCCUUGAUGUGUAGGAUAGGUGGGAGGCUUUGAAGUGUGGACGCCAGUCUGCAUGGAGCCGACCUUGAAAUACCACCCUUUAAUGUUUGAUGUUCUAACGUUGACCCGUAAUCCGGGUUGCGGACAGUGUCUGGUGGGUAGUUUGACUGGGGCGGUCUCCUCCUAAAGAGUAACGGAGGAGCACGAAGGUUGGCUAAUCCUGGUCGGACAUCAGGAGGUUAGUGCAAUGGCAUAAGCCAGCUUGACUGCGAGCGUGACGGCGCGAGCAGGUGCGAAAGCAGGUCAUAGUGAUCCGGUGGUUCUGAAUGGAAGGGCCAUCGCUCAACGGAUAAAAGGUACUCCGGGGAUAACAGGCUGAUACCGCCCAAGAGUUCAUAUCGACGGCGGUGUUUGGCACCUCGAUGUCGGCUCAUCACAUCCUGGGGCUGAAGUAGGUCCCAAGGGUAUGGCUGUUCGCCAUUUAAAGUGGUACGCGAGCUGGGUUUAGAACGUCGUGAGACAGUUCGGUCCCUAUCUGCCGUGGGCGCUGGAGAACUGAGGGGGGCUGCUCCUAGUACGAGAGGACCGGAGUGGACGCAUCACUGGUGUUCGGGUUGUCAUGCCAAUGGCACUGCCCGGUAGCUAAAUGCGGAAGAGAUAAGUGCUGAAAGCAUCUAAGCACGAAACUUGCCCCGAGAUGAGUUCUCCCUGACUCCUUGAGAGUCCUGAAGGAACGUUGAAGACGACGACGUUGAUAGGCCGGGUGUGUAAGCGCAGCGAUGCGUUGAGCUAACCGGUACUAAUGAACCGUGAGGCUUAACCUUACAACGCCGAAGGUGUUU